rnacentral:rRNA from 1 species
CUUAGCGAACUGAAACAUCUGAGUAGCUAAAGGAAGGAAAAUCAACCGAGACCCCGUUAGUAGCGGCGAGCGAGAGCGGAACAAGGGUUUUCAUCAAAAGAAAUCCGAAGCGGUUUCAUUCGAUUUGUUGUGGAUUGGAUGAUGGAAAAACCAGCAAGCAGCAAGCGUAGUUAGAAAAGUUGCCGUAGCGCGCCCUACGGAGUUGUACAAAGUCAGCAACCGUUUUGGGGCGCAAGCAUAGGCAACACAGGACUGAUGACGGGGUGGGGCGCGCAGUGAACUGGUUUUCUAAAAAGAUUGGAAGAUCCGGCCAAAGAAGGUGAUAGCCCUGUUCAUUCGUUCCCAUGGUUCGAUCCUUCCCAGUAAAACGCGGCGUGUUCGAAUGAUGAUCGCUUUUACGCGAGAAAGGGGGACCACCCUCUAAGCCUAAGUAUUCCUCAAUGACCGAUAGCGUACAAGUACCGUGAGGGAAAGGUGAAAAGAACCCCAAUCGGGGAGUGCAAUAGAGAACCUGAGAUCCGAUGCGAACAAUCAG